UACGAAGGGGGCUAGCGUUGCUCGGAAUCACUGGGCGUAAAGCGCACGUAGGCGGAUUGUUAAGUCAGGGGUGAAAUCCUGGAGCUCAACUCCAGAACUGCCUUUGAUACUGGCGAUCUCGAGUCCGGGAGAGGUGAGUGGAACUGCGAGUGUAGAGGUGAAAUUCGUAGAUAUUCGCAAGAACACCAGUGGCGAAGGCGGCUCACCUGGCCCGGUACUGACGCUGAGGUGCGAAAGCGUGGGGAGCAAACAGGG
rnacentral:rRNA from 1 species